rnacentral:rRNA from 1 species
UUCUGGUCGUGUUCAACAGACCUAUAAACAUUCUGUGCCGCGUUUCUUUGUUCCUGAGCAUGGCACUAUGUUUACUCUUGCGCUUGUUCGUUUUCCGCCUACUGCGACUAAAGAGAUUCAGUACCUUAACGCUAAAGGUGCUUUGACUUAUACCGAUAUUGCUGGCGACCCUGUUUUGUAUGGCAACUUGCCGCCGCGUGAAAUUUCUAUGAAGGAUGUUUUCCG